GUGUCAGCAGCCGCGGUAAUACGUAGGGGGCAAGCGUUGUCCGGAUUUAUUGGGCGUAAAGCGCGUGUAGGCGGCCAGGUAGGUCAGCUGUGAAAACUCGAGGCUUAACCUCGAGAUGUCGGCUGAAACCAUCUGGCUAGAGUCCGGAAGAGGAGAAUGGAAUUCCCGGUGUAGCGGUGAAAUGCGCAGAUAUCGGGAAGAACACCCGUGGCGAAGGCGGUUCUCUGGGACGGUACUGACGCUGAGACGCGAAAGCGUGGGGAGCGAACAGGAUUAGAAACCCCCGUAGUCC
rnacentral:rRNA from 1 species